rnacentral:rRNA from 1 species
UGNUCUGUCACUGACGCUGAGGCUNGAAAGCGUGGGUAGCGAACAGGAUUAGAUACCCUGGUAGUNCACGCCGUAAACGAUGAGUGCUAGGUGUUAGGCCCUUUCCGGGGCUUAGUGCCGGAGCUAACGCAAUAAGCACUCCGCCUGGGGAGUACGACCGCAAGGUUGAAACUCAAAGGAAUUGACGGGGGCCCGCACAAGCGGUGGAGCAUGUGGUUUAAUUCGAAGCAACGCGAAGAACCUUACCAGGUCUUGACAUCCCGAUGCUAUUCUUAGAGAUAGGAAGUUACUUCGGUACAUCGGAGACAGGUGGUGCAUGGUUGUCGUCAGCUCGUGUCGUGAGAUGUUGGGUUAAGUCCCGCAACGAGCGCAACCCUUAUUGUUAGUUGCCAUCAUUAAGUGGGGCACUCUAGCGAGACUGCCGGUAAUAAACCGGAGGAAGGUGGGGAUGACGUCAAAUCAUCAUGCCCCUUAUGACCUGGGCUACACACGUGCUACAAUGGUCGGUACAACGAGUUGCGAGCCGGUGACGGCAAGCUAAUCUCUGAAAGCCGAUCUCAGUUCGGAUUGGAGGCUGCAACUCGCCUCCAUGAAGUCGGAAUCGCUAGUAAUCGCGGAUCAGCACGCCGCGGUGAAUACGUUCCCGGGCCUUGUACACACCGCCCGUCACACCACGAGAGUUUGUAACACCCGAAGUCGGUGAGGUAACCUUUUAGGGG